rnacentral:lncRNA from 10 species
CAUGUAGUUGGGUUGCCAGCUUGACUGUGUGCGGGGGCUUUGGCUCUUUGCCACCAGUGAGGUGCGAGGAAGGGGAGGGAGAGCCACAAGGAACAUCUGGAGAAGCCGAGCCAGGGAAGGGCACACAGCCCCCUGCACAGGGUCCAGGGGUCCUGGGGCUGCGGUGGGCGUGGCCACCAAGAGAGCGGCUCCAGGCCAGGCUUGUUCUGUCGGUGACUGAAGGGUCUUUAAGGCAUUCUUCUGCCUUCAGCUACGGGAAGCAGAGGACAGCUCACCUGAAGUGUUUCCCCAGCUCCAACCCUCUGUGUCCCGCCAUCAAACACACAGACGCACGCCCACAUCUUCAAAAAGAAGAGAAGCCCGCUUCACACCAAAAGGUGUUUCAGAAUAGAGCCUCAUCAUUGAUUCAAGCCCCGCCCAACCUAAGAGACUCCUGAGCUGCUGCUGCCACCGGUGCUGAAAAGAACAGAAGCGGCUUCCCCACACCUGCACGGGCUGAUUUGCACCAAACCGCUCUAAUUAGCACAUUCCAUGCUCUGAUUAGGCUUCCAGGGGAAGCAUGCCAAAUGCCAUUAAUUAUGGAUGUGAUCUUAAAUUAUUCACUUGAAAUGUUUUUUUCCUUGAUAUGCCCCUUUCAUUUCCCACUAACUUUUUGUCACAUCCAAGAAUAGAUCCAAUUAAGCCUCAAGAAGCGGAAGUUGGUUAUGUUAAAGAAAAGAUAAACUGAAAAUGAAUCACUUUUUUUUUCGUCCCAGUCAUGGUGUUGGUGGAAAAUCUGGAAGCGACCAGAAAAGAAAAAGGGAUAUGGUGUUCAUCCCUACCUCUUCUUUCUGUGGAUCUUGGUGCGUUUUGGCUCGUCAAUGCCACCUUGAUCAUUUCUGAUGGGACCCUGGAUGGUGAUUUAUUGGGCUGGCUCCCCAGAAGCAGAUCCUGAGCUGAGAAUUCAUGUGCAAAUGACUUAUUCAGAAAGCUGGAAAGGGGUGGAGGAACCAGGACAGCAAAGGAGAGAAAGCCAGUGCAUAGAACCUAGCAGAGCAGAAAGGAGAAGGAAGGGCGCUCUUGGUGGGGAAAACAUCAGCAAAGUCUUGGAGGCUGAAAUGCACAUGUGAAGACUUUGAGGAAACUGACAUGGUGUGAUGAAUAUUUCUCUUGCGGCAGAGUUGGAGAAAAUGCUCUCCAGAUGUGUCUGUUGUUUCCAGAACUUCCAGCCCAGCUGGUCUCUGUGGUCUCCCUAAUGCUUCUACUGCUGCAGCUGUCCCAAUGUCCUUUCCCAACCUGUCACCCAAGACCAGUACCACAGAGGUGAUUCUCAGCAUCUUGAGGGGUUGGGAAACCUUGCAAGUAUCAAGCAUGCUCCCAGCUGCCGGUGCCUGAGGUUCUAGGAAGGCCUGGAUUGUCCUCAACUUGCCUCUGAGCCUCCCCAGGAAAAGGUGUCUGGGAAACAGCCAGGAUAUCCUUUUUAUAAGCAAGCAACAUUCAGAAGAGCCGGGGACCAGGUGACUAAAAUUUCUCAUCCCAGCCUCACAACUUACAAACCCAUUCACUCCUCCACGUCUAACCUC